UACGUAGGGUGCGAGCGUUGUCCGGAAUUAUUGGGCGUAAAGAGCUCGUAGGCGGUGUGUUGCGUCGGUCGUGAAAACUUGGGGCUUAACUCUGAGCUUGCGGUCGAUACGGGCAUCACUGGAGUUCGGCAGGGGAGACUGGAAUUCCUGGUGUAGCGGUGAAAUGCGCAGAUAUCAGGAGGAACACCGGUGGCGAAGGCGGGUCUCUGGGCCGAUACUGACGCUGAGGAGCGAAAGCGUGGGGAGCGAACAGG
rnacentral:rRNA from 1 species